rnacentral:rRNA from 1 species
UACGUAGGGGGCAAGCGUUGUCCGGAAUCAUUGGGCGUAAAGAGCGCGUAGGCGGCCCUGUAAGUCCGCUGUGAAAGUCAAGGGCUCAACCCUUGAAUGCCGGUGGAUACUGCAGGGCUAGAGUCCGGAAGAGGCGAGUGGAAUUCCUGGUGUAGCGGUGGAAUGCGCAGAUAUCAGGAGGAACACCAAUAGCGAAGGCAGCUCGCUGGGACGGUACUGACGCUAAGGCGCGAAAGCGUGGGGAGCGAACAAG